AAACCAUUCCACAGACAAGCACUGGGAGCUCUGUAGAGAAACUGACAUCCAAGGACAGCAAACAUACAAGGAUAAAGAAGUGUUAUAGCAAGAGGGGUGCAGACAGUUAAACCAACCGGAAUCAGGAUGUGGCGACAGCUUUGGAUGCUCGCUUUUGGGACGAGUUUUAGUGACGAUGAUUUUUUUGCUCCAUUCUCGGCAAGUCUCGUCUAUCUCGCGUUUGUGAUGGGAUUAGGGAUCGUUCUUCGAAUCCUUAACAAAAUGUUUUCGCCCGAGGCUUUCAAAGAAUACAUAGCAGAUUUUCUUGCCACUAUGGAAAUGUGUGCAUACUUUUUCGAAAACAACUUCAUAUUUAAGCACUAUGGCUCUUUUUGGUUAUUUAUUGCUGUUCUUGUAGAAUGCUUCAUUGCAAACAGAACAUAUUUUGGUGCUUCCGAAAACCCAGUGAAAGCCUUUUACCAAUUUUGCAACAAAGAGAUCGGUUUGUCCACAGCAGUAUUGAAAAUUGCGGUACAGACUUUGGCGGGUUUGGCCUCGUAUCGUUUGGCCAAGUUAGUCUGGUCCCUCGAUCUGGUUCCCGACCACCGAGAGAGGUUUUACGAGGCGGGGUGUGCCUCGGACUUGAACGUGGCCCUCACUGCCGGGAUACUGGUGGAGUUUGGCGCCACAUUGAUAGACACGUGGCUGGGGAUGCAAGUAUUGAUGAAAAAUCAACUAGCAGACGAAAUAAUAAAACUGAGCAAUGGAUCACUUAUGAUAGUAUUGGGUAAGAGAGCAUUUCCAUCAAUGUACUAUGUACUCACAAGUAUACAUUUAGAUGACCCCAGAAGAUGAAGGUGAUAGAAUACAUGAAUGUGUAAGCAAAGUGUGUUCCGUUCACUCAGUUCUGGUAAUGGGAGAGAUUGAACGACGCAACGACAUUGUAUUAGAUUAGCUUCUUUUUUUAUUCAUUCCAAAAAGCUAUAUUUUUAUUACAUGUAGAUGCGUGAUCUUGUUUUAGGAUGUUCGAUUGUAUUUGGGAGAAUGAAUUGUGCUCAGUUUUCCGAAGAAUCGUUGAUCGGAACAAAAGCUACUUUAUGACACCGGCCGAACUUCUCGUAUGUUGUUAGAUAGUCCGAUGUCCAUUCUGUUUUUGAUUUUUGCAGGCAUCAAUCUGACUGGCAUGUACUUUAACCCAGCCAUGGCCACUGGGCACACGUUCGGAUGUAAGGGGACCACGGCGUGGGAACACGUGGUCGUCUACUGGAUAGGCCCCUUCAUUGGCUGCUUCCUGGCUAUGUUGAUGGACCGGAUGUUACACAUAGAUGCUGCAGCAACAGUCGCCAUGGAAACCAAAAAGAAGAAAUGAUUUGACACUAAAUGUACUCUUCAUCUACAUGUACCUUUCCGUUGAUUCAAAGAUCUCCUAGUUGAUACACAAAGCAUUCCCCUAUGCUAAUAUUCUUGUAUAGUUUAGAAAGAGUAUCGGAAUUUACUAGAUGUAUGGUAAAGCAAAAAAAAAAUCCACUUAUCCAAAUAUGUCUUUCACCAAACUACUUACUCUAAACCAUGUACAAGUAACAAAAUAUCAUUUUAAGCGCUUUACGUAAUAUGUAAGUUCAAGACUUGAACUUACGAUACACACUGGUGUACGCAUACCAAAAUGAUUCUUUAAUCGCUUUUCAAAGAAGCCACUGUUCUUCUUAUAUGUGCUGUAUUUGCUCCAUUUUCCAGGUCCCAUAUGAAAUACUUGUUAGCAGCAAAACGGCAAAAAUAGAUACAAGGACAUGUAUAUUUAUAUACCGGUAUAUAUUUCACGUAAACAAGGCAAUGCGAAGACUUUUACAACUAAACUUGUAGUCAUUUUUACCGCCCGCGAUCUACUCCUCUGGUUUUUGUAUUUGCUCGUUUAUAUACUUUGUACAUGUAUGUUUGUUUGGUUGUUUUUUUUAACCCGGUAAUAAUUCAAUCCCUAAUUAAAUCUAAUUUAAACAUG
rnacentral:misc_RNA from 1 species